rnacentral:rRNA from 1 species
AUUGAACGCUGGCGGCAUGCCUAACCCUGGCAAGCGGACGGGAAACGGGCUUUCCGGGUGCUGACGGAGGGCGGAAGGGGGGGGAAUACAACGGGAAGGUCCUUAGUGUGGGGGGUAACUAAUCCAAAAGGUGGCCAAUUACGCCAGAGAUCUAUGGGUGGAAGCAGGGGGACUUUUGGCCUUUUGGUAACUAAACGGCCGAUGGCAGAUUAGGUAGUUGGUGGGAUAAAAGCUUACCAAGCCUACGAUCUGUAGCUGGUCUGAGAGGACGAUCAGCCACACUGGGACUGAGACACGGCCCAGACUCCUACGGGAGGCAGCAGUGGGGAAUUUUGGACAAUGGGCGCAAGCCUGAUCCAGCAAUGCCGCGUGCAGGAUGAAGGCCUUCGGGUUGUAAACUGCUUUUGUACGGAACGAAAAGUCUUGGGUUAAUACCCUGGGAUCAUGACGGUACCGUAAGAAUAAGCACCGGCUAACUACGUG